rnacentral:tRNA from 1 species
AGGAAUGUGGCUUAGUGGUAGAGUGCUUGCCUGGCAUGCAUGAAGCCCUGGGUUCAAUUCCUCAGUACUG